CCUACGGGCGGCUGCAGUGGGGAAUAUUGGACAAUGGGGGCAACCCUGAUCCAGCCAUGCCGCGUGUGUGAAGAAGGCCUUCGGGUUGUAAAGCACUUUUGUACGGGAAGAAAUCGUUUGGGUUAAUACCCUGAGCGGAUGACGGUACCGUAAGAAUAAGCACCGGCUAACUUCGUGCCAGCAGCCGCGGUAAUACGAAGGGUGCAAGCGUUACUCGGAAUUACUGGGCGUAAAGCGUGCGUAGGCGGUUUGUUAAGUCAGAUGUGAAAUCCCCGGGCUCAACCUGGGAAUGGCAUUUGAUACUGGCGAGCUAGAGUACGGGAGAGGGUGGUGGAAUUCCCGGUGUAGCGGUGAAAUGCGUAGAGAUCGGGAGGAACAUCUGUGGCGAAGGCGGCCACCUGGACCAGUACUGACGCUGAGGCACGAAAGCGUGGGGAGCAAACAGGAUUAGAUACCCCUGUAGUC
rnacentral:rRNA from 1 species